CUUCUAUGUACCACUGAUAGCUGUAAAGAGAUCUUCUCUAUAACAGGCCUGGUGGGUGAGUGGACGGGAUUCUUCGGCUUGACAGUUUACCCUGUCAUGAAUUAUACAGAUUUCCAGUGUUUGUCAUUAGAGUUGUCCCGAGAAGGCAUCUCCAUCGUUCUGAGGAAAAAGACCCAGGACCCUGAAAACCCCCAAUAAAAUCUAAGGUUAAGAACCAGGGGCGGAGUGCCAGGAAGACAACUAAAACCAUCUGGACAUUGCUGGAUUUAAUACCGAACAUGGCAUUUACCAGACUUUCCGCAGUUAGAUAUAUAUUUUAUCUGCUGCAUCAAGAGACAGAUUCCAGGCUUGGUCUCUGUUCUCACCAUUGGACAUGGCAAUUACCGGACUUUCCGCAGUUAGAUAUAUAUUAUAUCUGCUGCAUCAAGAGACAGAUUCCGGGCUUGGUCUCUGUUCUCGCUACUGGAUAUGACACUUACCGGACUUUCCGCAGUCAGAUGUAUAUUUAAUCUGCUGCAUCAAGAGACAGAUUCCGGGCUCGGUCUCUGUUCUCAAUUCUGGACAUGGCAUUUACCUGAUUGUCC